CCUACGGGAGGCUGCAGUGAGGAAUAUUGGUCAAUGGUCGGGAGACUGAACCAGCCAAGCCGCGUGAGGGAUGAAGGUACAGAGUAUCGUAAACCUCUUUUGUCAGGGAACAAAGGCGGGGACGUGUCCCCGGAUGAGUGUACCUGAAGAAAAAGCAUCGGCUAACUCCGUGCCAGCAGCCGCGGUAAUACGGAGGAUGCGAGCGUUAUCCGGAUUUAUUGGGUUUAAAGGGUGCGCAGGCGGUCUGUUAAGUCAGCGGUCAAAGCCCGGGGCUCAACCCCGGCCCGCCGUUGAAACUGGGAGUCGCGAGUUGGAGAGAAGUAUGCGGAAUGCGCGGUGUAGCGGUGAAAUGCAGAGAUAGCGCGCAGAACUCCGAUUGCGAAGGCAGCAUGCCGGCUCCACACUGACGCUGAUGCUCGAAAGCGCGGGUAUCGAACAGGAUUAGAUACCCGUGUAGUC
rnacentral:rRNA from 1 species